AAAGCUGAAAUUUUACAUGAAACUUCAUUUCUAUAGGCAAUAUCGUGUUUGAUGACCGUGCACGGGAUUUGGCUGAGCGUUAGCGAAGCUUAACUUUCCACCGGAUAUCUCAAGACUAUAGACUAAGAGUCAGGCUUUAAAUGCAAAAUAUUUGAUAUUCUCAUUUGUCUUCUACCAGUCUGUAUGUUUUGUGCAGAAACAUCGAAGAAUCAUUGUAUCGUGGAAUUGAAACUUUGUAACUAAUUUGCGUGUCCCUUCUUGCACGUGACUGACUGUCGCGUAGCCUAACCAUCUGCAGGAUACCUCGAGCACAUUUCCAUCUGCAAACCUUCAAUUUUGCAUUAAUCUUCAUUUCACAAAGUCAAGAAUGAGUUCGAUCGUGGUGCCUCCAUGGGAUUCGUUCGGCUGGUAAAUGUUAUCGUAACCGUCUGACCGGUGCUGGUAUACAUUUUCUGUUUUCCAGAUACCUCAGGAAUGAAAUGAGUUUUGGGCUUAAAAUCUUGCAUGCAACUGCAGCUUGUUGUGUCACAAGCACACAUACUCUGUUUUAAAUUAUGAAUAAAGUGAUUUAAUUACUGUUUCCAGAUCACAGUAAGUAAUAACUAAUAUAAGGCAUCAAGACCAAACUUGUAAGCCUUUUGUAAAACUUUUAAAACAAUACCCUAAAAAAGUUCCUUAAGCACAAUAUAGAUCAGUUAAUAAUGAAUAAAACAAAUAGUUCCACUAUCCAGAACAGCUCAGUGGGCAACGUACUAGAUUCAAUCUCCUGUGUGAGUUGGAAAAAGAAGUUUCAUGUCCUACCUAAAUGUGGCACGGAUAUUAUGAAAUAAAAAUGUGUUCGUGAAUGCAAGAAAAGCGUUUAUCUAGUGACGCUAUUACUGUUGUUAUGUUUUUUAUCUGGUGCACAAUAUUCGCCUACAGUAAUAAAUAAACAGAAGGGAUUUGGAAUGUUGUCUAAGUUGAAAUUAAUACUGAAUAAAUAUUCAAUAUUCAUCCAAAGUGGGGUAUUAACACAAGGUGUAAAAUGAGAACAAAAUAUUUUGUUUAGUUAACUGCUGAUUAAAGCCUUUAGGGAUAUCUCGUACCUCAUAAAUAAAGGUGUUAUAUUUUAUAAUUCUGGUAGUUUUUACUGAGCAAUUUUAGAGGUGGAUAUUAAUGUUUUUUUUUUCAGAAAAAAUGUUUGCCGUACAAGAAUUUAUCUGUAUGCGUCCACAAUUUUGUAAUGUAAGUAAAGUUGUUGUGUGAGAAAAUCUCCUGACUGAUGUCUUAAACUCAAUCACAUUGCGGUCCAUCGAGAAGCACAUGAAGGAACAUCCGGGGGUGAGGCAGAUGUCUCAGGAGGAGAUGGCGGUGGUCCUGAGGUGGCUGGAAGGAUGGAAGAACGACUCAGCGGAUCUCCGAGCGCCCCAGGUGAAGGCUUCCAUGACCGGCCUGUACCCGGGUCUGGUAGUCCUGUACAGUCUGGUGCUGGUAGGGGCGGCCAUCCUCAACGGUGCGCUCAUCUACACUGUGCUGCGACACAGACUGUACAACCUGGGCCUUCUGCUGAGUCUGGCCAUCAGCAAUCUGCUGCUGAGCUGCUUCGUGCUGCCACCCACUGUCGCCGUGCUGAUCCUGCACAACUGGCUGCUUGGGCGGGUUCUUUGCCAUCUCCUUCCGUUGGUCCAGGAUAUGUUCAUCUACGUGAUGAUAUUGACUCAUCUGAUGAUCAUUGUUGAUCGAUACCGUUUGAUGCAAGGAUUGUCCAGAAUAUCCACCCUUUUGACAUCCUUGGGCGUCUGGAUGCUGUCCCUAUUCCUGGUUCUACCUUACCAACCCUACAUCAGCUACAUCGACCUGGAGAAGUACCUUGGAACUCAGUUUCACCAUGUAGGAAUAUGCACAGCCUCAAUCACAGGUUAUGUGAAACAAUACACCCGCGCUCUGGUACAAGUGAUGUAUUUCGCUCCAGUGUGUAUGAUGUCUUGUCUAUAUCUUCGUAUGCACAGAGAUCUACAGCGCAGAAGAAUGUACUGGGACGUGGUGUACGAGACGAGGACUAGUUUGGAUUCCGUGUCCAGUCCAACAACUUGCAGCGGACGAGUUAACAGAGACAUCACACUGCAGGAAAGAAGGUACCAGGAAAGUCAGAUAACGAGGGAGAAGCUGUUGCAGCAGUGCCUGGGCGCCAUGGCGGCUUUGUGCAGUGUAUGUCUGUGUCCACUGAUGGUCCUCAGGCUAGCCAAAACAAGCGUGUUGGAGAGCCAUGACAACAGCGGGCACUUCGACAUCCUGUACUCCGUGUUCGUCCUGCUGGCUUUCGUUCCCACGGUGGCCUCGCCGCUCACCUUCCUCUAUUGGUUCAUGGAGGGGUAAGGAUAAACUCAUCAUUAAGUCAAGUAGAAGACCUCGGUCUAGGAGAAUCGCUGAUGAUGAAUUACUACACUGGAAGGAGCAAUUUCCAACAUCGGCUGAGUCCCAGGCAGUGGUUGAAUGCUGACUGUGGCAGAUGUGACAGGUCGCGAGAAGGUGCGGGCGAGCGAGUUGAUGUCCUGCCCGGAGAACAUGAUCAGAGAGA